rnacentral:rRNA from 1 species
AUGGCUCAGGACGAACGCUGGCGGCGUGCUUAACACAUGCAAGUCGAGCGAUGAAGCUUCUUCGGAAGUGGAUUAGCGGCGGACGGGUGAGUAACACGUGGGUAACCUGCCUCAUAGAGGGGAAUAGCCUUCCGAAAGGAAGAUUAAUACCGCAUAAGAUUGUAAUAUUGCAUGAUAUAGCAAUUAAAGGAGUAAUCCGCUAUGAGAUGGACCCGCGUCGCAUUAGCUAGUUGGUGAGGUAACGGCUCACCAAGGCGACGAUGCGUAGCCGACCUGAGAGGGUGAUCGGCCACAUUGGGACUGAGACACGGCCCAGACUCCUACGGGAGGCAGCAGUGGGGAAUAUUGCACAAUGGGGGAAACCCUGAUGCAGCCAACGCCGCGUGAGUGAUGACGGUCUUCGGAUUGUAAAGCUCUGUCUUCAGGGACGAUAAUGACGGUACCUGAGGAGGAAGCCACGGCUAACUACGUGCCAGCAGCCGC